rnacentral:tRNA from 2 species
GCCCCUGUAGCUCAGCCUGGAAAGAGCUGGCGGCUACUAACCGCUGAGUCCCGGGUUCGAAUCCCGGCAGGGGCACCA